GGAAGGUUUAUGCAUAUGCUGGGGAGGGCGGGGCUCAUAUGAAUGUAAAACAAGAAGCAACCAUCUCGAAUGCCAAAUAUUAGCUUGUAGCAGCAUUAAUAGCACAAGCACAAAGCAGGAAACACAAUUUUCUAAUAAAUAAAGACAAAUAUAUUCCAGCACACCACCAAAAAAGUUCUACAACCUUUCCAAAAAAGUACUGAUUU
rnacentral:misc_RNA from 1 species